rnacentral:rRNA from 1 species
UACGUAGGGGACAAGCGUUGUCCGGAAUUAUUGGGCGUAAAGAGCGUGUAGGCGGCCAGGUAGGUCUGGUGUGAAAACUCGAGGCUUAACCUCGAGAUGUCAUCGGAAACCAUCUGGCUAGAGUCCGGAAGAGGAGAGUGGAAUUCCUGGUGUAGCGGUGAAAUGCGCAGAUAUCAGGAAGAACACCGAUGGCGAAAGCAGCUCUCGUGGGACGGUACUGACGCUGAGCGACGAAAGCGUGGGGAGCAAACAGG